rnacentral:rRNA from 1 species
GACGAACGCUGGCGGCGUGCCUAAUACAUGCAAGUCGAACGAACCGCGACUAAGUGCUUGCACUAAGUCAAGGUGAGUGGCGAACGGGUGAGUAACACGUGGGUAACCUACCUCAUAGUGGGGGAUAACAGUCGGAAACGACUGCUAAUACCGCAUAGGACAUAGGAUCACAUGAUCCAGUGAGGAAAGGUGGCGCAAGCUAUCGCUAAGAGAUGGACCCGCGGUGCAUUAGCUAGUUGGUAGGGUAAAGGCCUACCAAGGCGAUGAUGCAUAGCCGACCUGAGAGGGUGAUCGGCCACAUUGGGACUGAGACACGGCCCAAACUCCUACGGGAGGCAGCAGGAGGGAAUCUUCCGCAAUGGACGGAAGUCUGACGGAGCAACGCCGCGUGAGUGAAGAAGGUCUUCGGAUCGUAAAGCUCUGUUGUUAGAGAAGAACAGCGCAUAGAGUAGCUGAUAUGGGUGUGACGGUGGCUACGCAGAAAGCCACGGCUAACUACGUG